rnacentral:rRNA from 1 species
AUCAACGCUGGCGGCGUGCCUUAACACAUGCAAGUCGCACGAGAAAGUCCGCAAGGCCUGAAGUACAGUGGCGCACCGGGUGAGUAACACGUGACUCAUCCUACCUCUUAGUGGGGAAUAGCCUCGGGAAACCGGAGCGAAUACCGCAUAACAUCGCAAGGAUCAAAGCAGCAAGGCGCUGGGAGAGGGAGGGUCCGCGGCCUGAUUAGCUAGUUGGUCGGGGUAACGGCCUACCAAGGCAAGAUCGGUAUCCGGCCUGAGAGGGCAGCACGGCCACACUGGAACUGAAACACGGUCCAGACUCCUACGGGAGGCAGCAGUGGGGAAUCUUGCGCAAUGGGCGGAAACCCUGAUGCAGCAACGCCGCGUGGAGCGAUGAAGUCCCUUCGGGGAUGUAAACUCCUUUCGACCCGGGACGAUAAUGACGGUACCGGGAGAAGAAGCUACGGCUAACUACUGUGCCAGCAGCCGCGGUAAUACAGUAGGCGAGCGAGCGUUGUUCGGAAUUACUGGGCGUAAAGAGUGCGCGUAGGCGGUGCGGUCCAGUCACCUUGUGAAAUCUCCCUGGCUUCAACUGGGAGGGUGCAGGCGGAAACUAGCGUGCUGAGAGUGUGGGAGAGGUAGCGGGAAUUCCCGGUGUAGCGGGUGAAAUGCGUAGAUAUCAGGAGGAACACCUGUGGCGUAAGGACGGCGCACUGGACCACUACUGACGCUGAGGCGCGAAAGCGUAGGGGAGCAAACAGGAUUAGAUACCCUGGUAGUCCUAGCCCUAAACUAUGGCAUGCUUGGUGUGAUCGAGUACCCAAUUCCGAUCGUGCCGGAAGCUAACGCGAUUAAGCAUCCCGCCUGGGGAGUACGGUCGCAAGGCUGAAACUCAAAGGAAUUGACGGGGGGCCCGCACAAGCGGUGGAGCAUGUGGUUCAAUUCGACGCAACGCGAAGAACCUUACCUGGGCUCGAACGGCAGUGGAUAUCGGUGGAAACAUAGGCGCCCGCAAGAGACCGAUGCGGAGGUGCUGCAUGGCUGUCGUCAGCUCGUGUCGUGAGAUGUUGGGUUAAGUCCCGCAACGAGCGCAACCCUAUCGUCCUGUUUGCUCACGCCGUAAUGGGAAGGCACUCGGGCGAAACCGCCUCGGAUAAGGUGGAGGAAGGUGGGGAUGAUGUCAAGUCAUCAUGGCCUUUAUGUCCAGGGCUACACACGUGCUACAAUGGAUCGGUACAAAGCGUCUGCAAACCCGCUGAGGGGGAGCCUAAUCGGCAAAAAGCCGUGCCUCAGUUCGGAUCGGCAGUCUGCAACUCGCCUGCCAUGAAGCUGGAAUCGCUAGUAAUCGCAGUAUCAGAACGAUGCCGGGAAUACGUUCCCGGGCCUUGUACACACCGCCCGUCACAUCACGAAAGUGGAUUGUACUAGAAGGUCGCUAAGCAAGACAGUCCAAGGUGUGAUUCAUGAUUGGGGUGAAGUCGUAACAA